AGUGAACGCUGGCGGUAGGCCUAACACAUGCAAGUCGAACGGCAGCACAGUAAGAGCUUGCUCUUACGGGUGGCGAGUGGCGGACGGGUGAGGAAUACAUCGGAAUCUACUUUUUCGUGGGGGAUAACGUAGGGAAACUUACGCUAAUACCGCAUACGACCUACGGGUGAAAGCAGGGGAUCUUCGGACCUUGCGCGAUUGAAUGAGCCGAUGUCGGAUUAGCUAGUUGGCGGGGUAAAGGCCCACCAAGGCGACGAUCCGUAGCUGGUCUGAGAGGAUGAUCAGCCACACUGGAACUGAGACACGGUCCAGACUCCUACGGGAGGCAGCAGUGGGGAAUAUUGGACAAUGGUCGCAAGCCUAAUCCAGCCAUACCGCGUGGGUGAAGAAGGCCUUCGGUUUGUAAAGCCCUUUUGUUGGGAAAGAAAAGCAUCAGGUUAAUACCCCGCUGUUCUGACGGUACCCAAAGAAUAAGCACCGGCUAACUUCGUG
rnacentral:rRNA from 1 species